AUUGGGUGUUAUCACAGUCAGCAUGGAUAAGAUGGACCAAAGGGCCUGUUUCUGUUCCGAAUUGUUCCAUGAUUUCUCCCAGACCCCAACUUGAAAGGGAAAUCCAGAGCAUCACACAAAAUGCUGGAGGAACUCAGCAUGUCAGGCAGCAUCUAUAGAGGGGAACAGAUAGUCAACAUAUCGGGCCAAGACCCUUAAUCCUGGCCUAGUGACGGAUCGUGGUCUGUAAUGUCAACUGACUAUUUCACUCUACAGAUUAUGCCUGACCUGCAGAGUUCCUCCAGCAGGUUGGGUGUUGUUUCAUAUCCCAGCAUCUGCCAUCUCAUGCAUCUCCUCAACAACCACCUCACUGAAUCUCCAAAGUUCAAAAUCCCGUGAUCAGCGAGUCCUGGGGUCAAGACCAAAGUCGGCAAAUCCAGCAGUCGAGGCCCCUGGGUCGUGGAUCUGGAAGUCUGAAGCCCGUGAUGGCCACUGUGUUCCCUUUCAACUGCUCGGGUCCGCGGCUACGCGGUGACUGAAACGCUCCCGCGCACAGAGUCUUUGUUGCCACACGGCUAGAAAAGGGAAUUUACUCGCCGAGAAGUGUCUGUUUUGUUGGCUGUGAAUUGCUGUGGACGUAUGGCUCAGUGGGUAUGUGGAUCCUGUCUCCAUAGCAGUGUUGAAGGAGGCUAAUACCCACCCUCGCUCAACCAAGGCAAUCUGAUCCUGGAUAAAAGCUCCGUUGUUCAGGUCACCGCAGGCUUGCGGAGGGUCUGCGGGAACCAGAGAGUGGUGAGUGCGUGGAAUGGGCUGCCAGCAACGGUGGUGGAGACGGAUACGAUGUGUCUUUUAAGAGACUCCUGGACAGGAAUGAUGCCUCAAAUAGAUAGCAGCCAUCAUUAAGGACUCCCACUACCCAGGACGUGCCCUCUUCUCAUCACUACCAUCAGGAAGGAGGUACAGAAGCCAGAGGAAACACACUCAGUGAAUCAGGAACAGCUUCUUCCCCUCUGCCAUCCGAUUUCUGAAUGGACACUGAACCAUGAC